rnacentral:rRNA from 1 species
GGCGAACGCUGGCGGCGUGCUUAACACAUGCAAGUCGAACGGAAAGGCCCUGCUUUUGUGGGGUGCUCGAGUGGCGAACGGGUGAGUAACACGUGAGUAACCUGCCCUUGACUUUGGGAUAACUUCAGGAAACUGGGGCUAAUACCGGAUAGGAGCUCCUGCUGCAUGGUGGGGGUUGGAAAGUUUCGGCGGUUGGGGAUGGACUCGCGGCUUAUCAGCUUGUUGGUGGGGUAGUGGCUUACCAAGGCUUUGACGGGUAGCCGGCCUGAGAGGGUGACCGGCCACAUUGGGACUGAGAUACGGCCCAGACUCCUACGGGAGGCAGCAGUGGGGAAUAUUGCACAAUGGGCGGAAGCCUGAUGCAGCAACGCCGCGUGCGGGAUGACGGCCUUCGGGUUGUAAACCGCUUUCGCCUGUGACGAAGCGUGAGUGACGGUAAUGGGUAAAGAAGCACCGGCUAACUACGUGCCAGCAGCCGCGGUGAUACGUAGGGUGCGAGCGUUGUCCGGGUUUAUUGGGCGUAAAGGGCUCGUAGGUGGUUGAUCGCGUCGGAAGUGUAAUCUUGGGGCUUAACCCUAAGCGUGCUUUCGAUACGGGUUGACUUGAGGAAGGUAGGGGAGAAUGGAAUUCCUGGUGGAGCGGUGGAAUGCGCAGAUAUCAGGAGGAACACCAGUGGCGAAGGCGGUUCUCUGGGCCUUUCCUGACGCUGAGGAGCGAAAGCGUGGGGAGCGAACAGGCUUAGAUACCCUGGUAGUCCACGCUGUAAACGGUGGGUACUAGGUGUGGGGUCCAUUCCACGGGUUCCGUGCCGUAGCUAACGCUUUAAGUACCCCGCCUGGGGAGUACGGCCGCAAGGCUAAAACUCAAAGGAAUUGACGGGGCCCCGCACAAGCGGCGGAGCAUGCGGAUUAAUUCGAUGCAACGCGUAGAACCUUACCUGGGUUUGACAUGGAUCGGGAGUGCUCAGAGAUGGGUGUGCCUCUUUUGGGGUCGGUUCACAGGUGGUGCAUGCCUGUCGUCAGCUCGUGUCGUGAGAUGUUGGGUUAAGUCCCGCAACGAGCGCAACCCUUGUUCACUGUUGCCAGCACGUUAUGGUGGGGACUCAGUGGAGACCGCCGGGGUCAACUCGGAGGAAGGUGGGGAUGACGUCAAGUCAUCAUGCCCCUUAUGUCCAGGGCUUCACGCAUGCUACAAUGGCUGGUACAGAGAGUGGCGAGCCUGUGAGGGUGAGCGAAUCUCGGAAAGCCGGUCUCAGUUCGGAUUGGGGUCUGCAACUCGACCUCAUGAAGUCGGAGUCGCUAGUAAUCGCAGAUCAGCAACGCUGCGGUGAAUACGUUCCCGGGGCU